rnacentral:misc_RNA from 1 species
GUAACGGCUAGUUUUCCCAUUUUGCUGAUUCGAUUCUUCUCGCACGAUAGACUCUCUUCCACCACUGCUAAAAAUCUCUCCAUAUUUCACACAUUCAGAUUAUUUUUUAAUCAAAUUUCAACGAAUCCAUAGAUUUGGAUUUUUGAUUCUGAAAACAGAAAUGAGUGAAUCGGUGGCAGAAGUUGGUACAUCAAUGCAAGAUCAGGCUGCCAAUCCUCAUCUUCCUCCUCCUCCUCCACCUCCUAUUCAACGGCGGCCAAGGGUGAGGGAAGUGAGCUCUAGAUUCAUGUCUCCGGUUGUAUCAUCUUUCUCCUCCUCCUCCUCCUCCCCUCUCCCAAAUAAUAAACAACGCUCCAGCUCUGUGCAAAAGCAGCGGCAAACUGAGCCUCUUUCCUGUGCCGACGAGAACAGACACAUCAUUACUGACUUCAUUCGCAGCCCACCACAGCGGAAGCAUCAGCAUCGCGCUGUGAUGAAACUUUUCAAGGAGAAUGGUGGAAGUAGCAGACAAGAUCAGCCACCUUCCAGAUCUCACUUCCGGCCAGACACCCCCACAGUUACCACUACUUCAUCCUCUAAAAUACGACUGAUGAAGCAGCGAUCUACCCCCAGCACCAUGUCAGCCGCUGCAAAGCUCUUGCAAUCCUCUGGGAUGUCAUCGUCCCAUUUGGGUAGUUCGAAUUUGAUUGAAUCAUCUCCGUCUCCAUCGCCAUCACCAUCGUCAUCGCCAUCUCGAUCAGCUUGUUCUGGUUGUGACGGUCAUGAAAAUUGUGAAAAUCAUAACAUUGAAGGCAACCAUUUAUCCCAAAGCAGCUCCACUCAGUCCCUUCCUGAUCUCCGCUCUUCUAUGCCGGAGGCAGGUGUGUUACCUAAGGUCUCCGGUAGAUUUUUGGCAGAUAGAAGUGUUAAUAGGCCUAAUGGGACUACUGCUGAUUCAUCUAAAUUCUCUGCUGCACCCUGCUCUCGGUCCCUUGAUUUGCCACAAUCCUCUACAUUUGAAUACUCAUUGAUGCAUUCCUUGAAAGCUGCUGAAAAACCAGGCAAGCAAUAUACUAAUUCUGUCAGGAUGGGUUGUGGGCUUCCUCUGCCUCCAGUCCCUCAUGCGAAACUCGCAGCUGAUUUCUCUAGAAAGGGAAGGAAAAUUCUCAGUCAUCAAGAAUCUGUGCAUUCUCUAAGACUGCUUCAUAAUCAUUAUUUGCAGUGGCGGUAUGCGAAUGCAAAAGCUGAGGCCUCCAUCAAAUCUCAAAGAAGAGAAACUGAGAGAACAAUAUAUUCCCUUGGUGUGAAGAUAUCAGAAUUAUAUGACUCCGUGGAAAGAAAACGCAUUGAACUUGGCCUUUUACAAAGGGCCAAAACUCUAUGUGCAAUUCUAGAAGCCCAGAUGCCAUAUCUGGAAGAAUGGUCUACUCUUGAACCAGAUUAUUCAAUAUCUUUGUCAGAAGCAAUGCAAGCUUUGUUGAAUACCUCACUUCGGCUUCCAAUUAGUGGGAAUGUUAAAGCUGAUGUAAGGGAGGUAGGGGAAGCAUUGAACUCUGCAAUGAAGUUGAUGGAAUUAAUAGCUAUCCAAAUUCAAAGCUUUAUGCCAAAGGUGGGUUGUAUUGAAGGCAUUCUCCUUAAAACCAUAAUUAAGCUUACUUUAAGGCUGAUGAUAAAAUCUGAUAAUUCUUGGCUUUCUUAAUGAAGGCUGAAGAAAUGGACAUUCUGAUAUCAGAACUAGCCAGUUUGUCUGGAGGAGAAAGAGCACUUAUUGAAGAAUGUGGGGAUCUGUUAUAUAUCACACGUAAAUCACAGGUGGAGGAAUGCAGCUUACGUGGCCAACUUAUUCAGUUGAAUCGAAUUCAUGGUCAACACCAUG